rnacentral:rRNA from 1 species
UGCAUGGUUGUCGUCAGCUCGUGUCGUGAGAUGUUGGGUUAAGUCCCGCAACGAGCGCAACCCCUAUUGUUAGUUGCCAUCAUUCAGUUGGGCACUCUAGCGAGACUGCCGGUAAUAAACCGGAGGAAGGUGGGGAUGACGUCAAAUCAUCAUGCCCCUUAUGACCUGGGCUACACACGUGCUACAAUGGUUGGUACAACGAGCUGCGAGUCGGUGACGGCGAGCUAAUCUCUUAAAGCCAAUCUCAGUUCGGAUUGUAGGCUGCAACUCGCCUACAUGAAGUCGGAAUCGCUAGUAAUCGCGGAUCAGCACGCCGCGGUGAAUACGUUCCCGGGCCUU